CCUACGGGAGGCAGCAGUGAGGAAUAUUGGUCAAUGGGCGCGAGCCUGAACCAGCCAAGUAGCGUGAAGGAUGACUGCCCUACGGGUUGUAAACUUCUUUUAUAAAGGAAUACAGUGAGGCACGUGUGCCUUUUUGUAUGUACUUUAUGAAUAAGGAACGGCUAACUCAGUGCCAGCAGCCGCGGUAAUACGGAGGAUCCGAGCGUUGUCCGGAUUUAUUGGGUUGAAAGGGAGCGUAGAUGGGUUGUUAAGUCAGUUGUGAAAGUUUGCGGCUCAACCGUAAAAUUGCAAUUGAUACUGGCAACCUUGAGUACAGUUGAGGUAAGCGGAAUUCGUGGUGUGGCGGUGAAAUGCUUAGAUAUCACGAAGAACUCCGAUUGCGAAGGCAGCCUACUAAACUUCCACUGACAUUGAUGCUCGAAAGUGUGGGUAUCAAACAGGAUUAGAUACCCGAGUAGUC
rnacentral:rRNA from 1 species